UACGUAGGGGGCAAGCGUUGUCCGGAAUUAUUGGGCGUAAAGAGCGCGUAGGCGGUCCGAUAAGUCGGAUGUGAAAUCCCCGGGCUCAACCUGGGAAUUGCAUUCGAUACUGGAUAGCUAGAGUUCGGCAGAGGGAAGCGGAAUUUCGGGUGUAGCGGUGAAAUGCGUAGAUAUCCGAAGGAACAUCAGUGGCGAAAGCGGCUUCCUGGACCAGAACUGACGAUCAGGCUCGAAAACGUGGGGAGCAAACAGG
rnacentral:rRNA from 1 species